rnacentral:rRNA from 1 species
CCUACGGGAGGCAGCAGUAGGGAAUUUUCGUCAAUGGGCGCAAGCCUGAACGAGCGAUGCCGCGUGAGUGAAGAAGGCCUUCGGGUCGUAAAGCUCUGUUGCGGGGGAAAAAAGGCAGCAUCAGGCAAUGGUUGCUGACUGCUGCUGCCCCGCCAGCAAGUCACGGCUAACUACGUGCCGGCAGCCGCGGUAAUGCGUAGGGGGCGAGCGUUAGCCGGAUUGAUUGGGCGGAAAGGGUGCGCAGGCGGGCCUGCAAGUAGGGAGGGAAACGCAUGAGAUAAACUCAUGCAUGGCAUUGGAAACUGGAGGACUGGAGAGCAGGAGAGGGCGGUGGAACUCCAUGUGUAGCGGUAAAAUGCGUAGAUAUAUGGAAGAACACCAGUGGCGAAGGCGGCCGCCUGGCCUGUUGCUGACGCUGAGGCACGAAAGCGUGGGGAGCGAAUAGGAUUAGAUACCCUUGUAGUC